rnacentral:rRNA from 1 species
UACGAAGGGGGCUAGCGUUGUUCGGAAUCACUGGGCGUAAAGGGCGCGUAGGCGGCUUUGUAAGUCGGGGGUGAAAGCCUGUGGCUCAACCACAGAAUUGCCUUCGAUACUGCAUGGCUUGAGACCGGAAGAGGUAAGUGGAACUGCGAGUGUAGAGGUGAAAUUCGUAGAUAUUCGGCAAGAACACCAGUGGCGAAGGGCGGCUUAACUGGUCCGGUUCGUGAC